GAGUUUGAUCCUGGCUCAGAUUGAACGCUGGCGGAAUGCUUUACACAUGCAAGUCGAGCGGCAGCGCGGGGCAACCUGGCGGCGAGCGGCGAACGGGUGAGUAAUGCAUCGGAACAUGUCCAUGUCGUGGGGGAUAGCCCGGCGAAAGCCGGAUUAAUACCGCAUACGCCCGAGAGGGGAAAGCCGGGGACCGCAAGGCCUGGCGCGAUUGGGUUGGCCGAUGUCCGAUUAGCUAGUUGGCGGGGUAAGAGCCCACCAAGGCGAUGAUCGGUAGCUGGUCUGAGAGGAUGAUCAGCCACACUGGGACUGAGACACGGCCCAGACUCCUACGGGAGGCAGCAGUGGGGAAUUUUGGACAAUGGGGGCAACCCUGAUCCAGCCAUUCCGCGUGAGUGAAGAAGGCCUUCGGUUGU
rnacentral:rRNA from 1 species